UACAGAGGUGGCAAGCGUUGUUCGGAAUUACUGGGCGUAAAGCGCACGUAGGCGGAUCGUUAAGUGAGGGGUGAAAUCCCAGGGCUCAACCCUGGAACUGCCUUUCAUACUGGCGAUCUAGAGUCCGGAAGAGGUGAGUGGAACUCCUAGUGUAGAGGUGGAAUUCGUAGAUAUUAGGAAGAACACCAGUGGCGAAGGCGGCUCACUGGUCCGGUACUGACGCUGAGGUGCGAAAGCGUGGGGAGCAAACAGG
rnacentral:rRNA from 1 species